CGCGACCCCAGGUCAGGCGGGACU
rnacentral:rRNA from 1 species